CCUACGGGUGGCAGCAGUGGGGAAUAUUGCACAAUGGGGGAAACCCUGAUGCAGCAACGCCGCGUGAAGGAAGACGGUUUUCGGAUUGUAAACUUCUGUUCUUAGUGAAGAAUAAUGACGGUACCUGACUAAGAAGCCCCGGCUAACUACGUGCCAGCAGCCGCGGUAAUACGUAGGGGGCAAGCGUUAUCCGGAUUUACUGGGUGUAAAGGGGGCGCAGACGGCAGCGCAAGCCAGGAGUGAAAGCCCGGGGCCCAACCCCGGGACUGCUCUUGGAACUGCGCGGCUGGAGUGCAGGAGGGGCAGGCGGAAUUCCUGGUGUAGCGGUGAAAUGCGUAGAUAUCAGGAGGAACACCGGUGGCGAAGGCGGCCUGCUGGACUGCGACUGACGUUGAGGCCCGAAAGCGUGGGGAGCAAACAGGAUUAGAUACCCGUGUAGUC
rnacentral:rRNA from 1 species